rnacentral:rRNA from 1 species
GACGAACGCUGGCGGCGUGCCUAAUACAUGCAAGUAGGACGCAGUUGCGAACGGGUGAGUAACGCGUAGGUAACUACCUAUUAGAGGGGGAUAACUAUUGGAAACGAUAGCUAAUACCGCAUACUAGUAGAUGGACCUUCGUUGUUUUAGCUAGUAGGUAGGGGAAUGGCCUACCUAGGCAAUGACACAUAGCCGACGUGGGAGGGGGUUCGGCCACACUGGGACUGAGACACGGCCCAGACUCCUACUGGAGGCAGCAGGAGGGAAUCUGCGGCAAUGGGGGGAACCGUGACCGAGCAACGCCGCGGGAGUGAAGAAGGUUUUCGGAUCGUAAAGCUCUGUUGUUAAGGAAGCGGUACUUAAAGAGAAAGGGACGGCUAACUACGUGCCAGCAGGCGCGGUAAGAG